AACGAACGCUGGCGGCAGGCCUAAAACAUGCAAGUCGAGCGGGCAUAGCAANAUGUCAGCGGCGGACGGGUGAAUAACACGUGGGAACAUGCCCUUUGGUACGGAACAACUCAGGGAAACUUGAGCUAAUACCGUAUGUGCCGGUAACGGGAAAGAUUUAUCGCCAAAGGAUUGGCCCGCGUCCGAUUAGCUAGUUGGUGAGGUAACGGCUCACCAAGGCGACGAUCGGUAGCUGGUUUGAGAGAACGAUCAGCCACACUGGGACUGAGACACGGCCCAGACUCCUACGGGAGGCAGCAGUUGGGAAUCUUGGACAAUGGGGGAAACCCUGAUCCAGCCAUGCCGCGUGAGCGAUGAAGGCCUUCGGUU
rnacentral:rRNA from 1 species